AUACGAAGGGUGCAAGCGUUACUCGGAAUUACUGGGCGUAAAGCGUGCGUAGGUGGUUGUUUAAGUCUGUCGUGAAAGCCCUGGGCUCAACCUGGGAAUGGCGAUGGAAACUGGGCGACUAGAGUGUGGCAGAGGGUAGUGGAAUUCCUGGUGUAGCAGUGAAAUGCGUAGAGAUCAGGAGGAACAUCCGUGGCGAAGGCGACUGCCUGGGCCAACAAUGACACUGAGGCACGAAAGCGUGGGGAGCAGACAGGAUUAGAUACCCUGGUAGUCCACGCCCUAAACGAUGCGAACUGGAUGUUGGGUGCAAUUUGGCACGCAGUAUCGAAGCUAACGCGUUAAGUUCGCCGCCUGGGGAGUACGGUCGCAAGACUGAAACUCAAAGGAAUUGACGGGG
rnacentral:rRNA from 1 species